GGGGCGUUAGCUCAUCUGGCUAGAGCGUAACACUGGCAGUGUUGAGGUGAUCGGUUCGAGUCCGAUACGCUCCACAA
rnacentral:tRNA from 1 species